CCCUGCAUCCAAAUGUUCUUACCGGUGGUGUGAGCGCGUGCAAAGAAAGCUGCUUUAUUUUUGGACUUAGGACUCAAAAGCAGCAAGAGGUCAAGUGCUCUGUGCUGCCACCAACUGGCUAGCAUUUCUCCUAUAAAUACCUGCUCAGAAGGCCUGCCGGUCCUUUAUGCAACAGCUGCUCUAAAAGCUACAGGUUUAUUUUCGGCAAAAGCCCAGAAAUAAAUGGAUAUAAAGAAAGAAGAUCGAACAAAUGAUGAGUAAAAGAUCUGAAAUUGGCUCUAUUCACUGACACAGGUUUUUUUCGGCAAAAGUCCAGAAAUAAAUGGAUAUAAAAAUAGAAGAUUGAAGAAAUGAUGAGUAAAAGAUCUGAGAUUGGCUCUAUUCACUGACACAGGUUUGCUUUCGGCAAAAACCCAGAAAUAAAUGCAUAUAAAAAUAGAAGAUUGAACAAAUGAUGAGAUUGGCUGGCUGUAUUCACCGACAUGGUUUUUUUUCAGCAAAAGCUCAGAAACAAAUGAAUAUAAAGAUAGAAGAUUGAACAAUUGAUGAGUAAAAGAUAUGAGACUGGCUCUAUUCACUGACACAGGUGCAUCACCCAGUGAAGAAUUCACUCAAAGGAGCCUAAAAAGAACAAGAGAGACAUGAUAAGAUGACUUACUGGAUCAGAUUCUACAAAGCUGCCUUCCUAUGACAAUAAAGGAUUUUCUGUCAAUUGUGUUUUUGAAAAAUUCUAUGUUUUGGAAAUUUUAUGUAUUAAAGUUUAUCUUUACAUAA